rnacentral:rRNA from 1 species
AUCAACUUUCGAUGGUAGGAUAGAGGCCUACCAUGGUGGUAACGGGUAACGGGGUGUUAGGGCACGACACCGGAGAGGGAGCCUGAGAAACGGCUACCACAUCCAAGGAUGGCAGCAGGCGCGCAAAUUACCCAAUCCCGACACGGGGAGGUAGUGACAAUAAAUAACAAUACGGGGUUCUUUCGGAUUUCGUAAUUGGAAUGAGUACAAUUUAAAUCUCUUAACGAGGAACAAUUGGAGGGCAAGUCUGGUGCCAGCAGCCGCGGUAAUUCCAGCUCCAAUAGCGUAUAUUAAAGUUGCUGCAGUUAAAAAGCUCGUAGUUGAAUUUCGGGACCAAUAUGUCGGUCGUGCCUCGGUACGUACUGGCAUCGUUGGUUUCUCCCUUCUGACGAACCAUGAUGUCAUUUAUUUGGUGUCGUGGGGAAUCAGGACUGUUACUUUGAAAAAAUUAGAGUGUUUAAAGCAGGCUCACGCUUGAAUACAUUAGCAUGGAAUAAUGAAAUAGGACGUUUGAUUCUAUUUUGUUGGUUUCUAGGAUCGACGUAAUGAUUAAUAGGGAUAGUUGGGGGCAUUAGUAUUCAAUUGUCAGAGGUGAAAUUCUUGGAUUUAUUGAAGACUAACUACUGCGAAAGCAUUUGCCAAGGAUGUUCUCAUUAAUCAAGAACGAAAGUUANGGGGAUCGAAGACGAUCAGAUACCGUCGUAGUCUUAACCAUAAACUAUGCCGACUAGGGAUCGGAUGAUGUUAAUUUUUUAAUGACUCAUUCGGCGCCUUACGGGAAACCAAAGUGUUUGGGUUC